rnacentral:rRNA from 1 species
ACUCCUACGGGAGGCAGCAGUCGGGAAUUUUGGGCAAUGGGCGAAAGCCUGACCCAGCAACGCCGCGUGAAGGAUGAAAUCCCUCGGGAUGUAAACUUCGCAAGAAUGGGAAGAAUUAGUAGGGGUUAAUACCCCCUAUGAUGACGGUACCAUUUGUAAGCUCCGGCUAACUCCGUGCCAGCAGCCGCGGUAAUACGGGGGGAGCAAGCGUUGUUCGGAUUUACUGGGCGUAAAGGGCGCGUAGGCGGUCAGCACAAGUCAGUUGUGAAAUCUCCGAGCUUAACUCGGAAAGGUCAACUGAUACUGUGCGACUAGAGUGCGGAAGGGGCAACUGGAAUUCUUGGUGUAGCGGUGAAAUGCGUAGAGAUC